GGAUGUGAGGGCGACCUGGCCAUGACAUCCAUCACCCCAUUGAUCGCCAGGAUUGAUUCGGCUGGUUUGGCCGGCCAGGCGGGUGUCCCCUUCCUCCCUCACUGCUCCACGUGCAUCUGUUGGGCCAGCAAUUCAACUUCUGGACAUUUACCAGAACAAGGGAAAGUCAGCU
rnacentral:snRNA from 1 species